rnacentral:lncRNA from 1 species
GAAAGAUUUAAUUUGUUCUUUUCUUUUUUACAGGGACUUGUAACUAAGUUUGCCUUGAGUCGCAGAGGAGACCUUAAAAUUGGAGGUGUGAGCAAUGGUAGAAUUAUUAAGACUUUGGGAAUUCUUGGAGAUGGAUCAAAUGCAUUUUGCAUUAUGUAAUGGACAUGAGAUUUUUCAGGGUCAGAGGAAGAAUACUGUAGUUUGGAGAAGUGUCCCCCAGAGACUUACGUGUUGAAGGUCUGGUCCCCAGCCUAUGGUGCUGCUGGGAGGUGGUGGGCCUACUGGAAGGAAGAAGUUAGGUCGUGGGGAGCAUGAGGAGAUUUGGGACCCCCGCCCUUUCUUGUUUCUCUCUCUGCUUCCUGGCCACCAGAGGUGAAUAGGCCUUCUCUGCCAUGUGUUCCUGCCACCAUGUACUGUGCCAUCACAGCCCAAAGCCACAGGACCAUGGGCUGACAAUGGACCAAAGCUCUGAAACAGGAGCCAAAAUAAAAGAGCUGCAGCCCAGACCAGCAGAGCCAGCAGCUGAAGCAGUUGCAGUGAGCCCCGGGGCUCUUUCCCCUUCCUCCUCCUCCAUCUCCUCCAACCCUCUUCUUCCACCUGCCCAAAGGCCCCUCUCGCCUUCCGCCUGCCCCAUUGUUCCUUUCCCAACUCCCAUCCUUCCCCUUCCCCCCUGCUCCCCUCUCCCCCUCAGUUGUCUCACCCCUGCGGUUUUUGAUUUCCACCCACAACAGUGACCAAAGACUUGACCACUCAAAGUCCUGCUCCCCAUAACCUUGCUUGACAUGGACACAGGUGUGACUGAAGGUGAAUAAAUGUCACUGUCACCAUUCGACUACUUAUGUGUGGAAAGGAAGUUGGCAGUAUUGUUGGAAAGAAAGGAGAAUCAGUUAAAAAGAUGCACGGGGAGAGUGGUGCACAUGUCAACAUCUCAGAAGAGAAUUGUUGUGAGAAUGAUCACUUGGUCCGAACCCACUAAUGCCAUCUUCAAAACCUUUGUGACGAUUAUGGACAAAUGGUAGAGGACAUCAGCAGCUCUAUGACCAAUAGCACAGUAGACUUGGGUCACUCUGAGGCUGGUGGUCUCUACUAGUCAUUGUGGCUCUCUCAUUGGAAAAGGUGGUUGCAAGAUCAAGGAAAUGAGAGGGAGUCCAGGGCUCAAGUUCAGGUGGCAGGGGUGUGCUCCCCAUCAACUGAGCAGGCCGUCACUACUGCUGGCCUUCAGCAAUCCAUCCCUGAGUGUGUCAGUCAGGCCUGUGUGGUCAUCUUGGAGUCCCCCCAAAGGGCGUGACCAUCCUGUACCUGCCCAAGCUGUCAGGUUCUUCAGUCAUCUUUGCAGACAGUCAGGGCAGGUACAGCAUAGGCAGGGACACUGUGAGCUUUCUCCACACCACCCUGUCCCUGUGCUUCAAUCCUGACCUGGAAGGACACCUCUAGAGGCCUAUACCAUUCAAAGACAGUCUGCCACUCCAUAGCCAGACUGGACCAAGCUGCACCAAUUGGCAAUGCACAGUCUCAUUGUCCUAUGACACGUCAAUACCGUGUUCAGUGGCAAUGAAUCCAGCUCUCCAGAGGGAAGAACUUUGGGCAGGUUGGGAUGUAUCUGCUCAGACUAUUUCUCAUGAAUUCAUCAUUCCAACUUGAUUGGCUGCGUAAUCAGGCAUCAAGGAGCCAAAAAUCAAUGAAAUCGGUCCGAUGUCUGGGGUACAAAUCAAAAGUGCCAGCCCAGCGGAAGGAUCUACUGAUAGGCAGGUUACUGGAUCUGCUGCCAGCCCUAGCCUGGCUCAGUAUCUAAUCAAUGCCAGGCUUUCCUUGGAGACAGUGGUAUGGGGAGCCACUAGAGCAAGGCAGAUUCAUCCUAAUCCCUCUCUGCUGUUCACCACCACACAUGAUUCAUCUGUGUAGUUUCUGAGUAGUCAGUGAUUCCAGGUUUUAAAUAUUUUGCAAAUUUUCAGUUUCUACACACUUUCUUCAUCCACUCAUGAUUUUUCAAUGAAAGUGUUUUAAUUCCUUUCUUUGUUCAAGUGUUAAGGCUAAGCUCCAUAUUUAGUUUUAUAAGCUUCUCCCCAUUUUUUAUGGCUCAUCAAUUUUUCUGUUUGUGAUGGAAUAUGUAAAAGUACACUAUUCAUUCAUUUCAGCUUAGUUCUGGAAUGUCGGGAAUUUUUCAAAAAAAUUAAAAGAAUGAACUAGAGCUUUUUCUUUGUGAAUAGAAACUGGAUGCCACAGUGAUUCAUGUGGGUUUUAUUCCUGUGGUCUUCCUGUUAUUUU